rnacentral:tRNA from 1 species
GGCCUAAUGGCCCAAUGGCAAGGCGCUUGACUACGAUUCCAUCGGCAUCAAGAGAUUCCAGGUUCGACCCCUGGUUAGGUCA